CAGUAGCCGCGGUAAUACGAAGGGGGCUAGCGUUGUUCGGAUUUACUGGGCGUAAAGCGCACGUAGGCGGAUCGAUCAGUCAGGGGUGAAAUCCCAGAGCUCAACUCUGGAACUGCCUUUGAUACUGUCGAUCUGGAGUAUGGAAGAGGUGAGUGGAAUUCCGAGUGUAGAGGUGAAAUUCGUAGAUAUUCGGAGGAACACCAGUGGCGAAGGCGGCUCACUGGUCCAUUACUGACGCUGAGGUGCGAAAGCGUGGGGAGCAAACAGGAUUAGAUACCCCCGUAGUCCCUGUCUCUUAUAC
rnacentral:rRNA from 1 species